UGCUUACUAAGCCAUUUGAACUUUAAAGAGAAAAAAAAUAAAUAAAAAGAUUGUUGGUUAACUUCAUUUUACAGAGCAACAUUAAACACGCCACGCAUCAUUGCCACUACACCAUUCUUAGUGGUUAUGGUGCCAGGAGUGACAUCCCCAUUGUAAGGAGUCCAUAUCCAGUUUGGCUUUUUACCUGGGGUCUACCUGGCACAGCUUCCCACCUUCACUAUAGCAGAGAUCCAGAAGUUUUAAGUGGGAGAUUUUGUUAAUCUUGUCAGAGGCAGAAGCCCUGCACUAAAAGGGAUUAGCUCAUGAGUGAGCCGUGCUGCCUGGUUUAACCCAGGUAAAAAAAAAAAAACGGUUCUUUAUAAAAAUAAAAGUGAUUGGGAGGGGGGCAUUGCUGGUAUCAUAACCAGUAGUGCCCUUGAUGCUUGGAGUGUUUCUUUUAAUAGAAGAGUUAGACAUGCCAGUACUCUUGGUGUAAAGGUAUAUUACUCCUUGUUGAGAUAGCACUGGAUUAGUAGCAGUUACCCCUAAAGUUAUUUACUCCUGUUGAACAAAGUUGCACCACAAAAAAAAAAUUUUAAAAAAUUGACUUAACCAAUGUUAGCAGAGCAAUAAAACCUUGGAAACUUGGAAGAGCUGAGAACUACUCAGGACCAAUUGAAGCCGGAUUUAUUUAUUUAUUUUUUAAAACCAAACUGCUGAAUCUGUGUUGGAGAAUGCAGGUUCGCUGAGCAAUACUUCCCUAUAGAGCAGUGACUGUUAAUCCACUGCAGAUAUGGCUUAGAAUAUUUAGUAUUCUCUCCAGUUUGAUUGUCAUUGCUGGAUUUCAUAUGAAGCUUUGCCAAUAACCAUAUAUCCCAUCUGUAGUACACAAGAACUAAAGAAAAAGGUAGUGGAAUAAAAUUCAGUUACACAAUAUAUGAUUAUGAAAGCCAUUAGCGGGUAGCCAGUGCAAAGCUAGGCAACUAGUAAAAGAAUACCAAGAGGAAUUGCGCUGGUAUUUCAGCAAAAAGCUUCAAAAGAUGAAACUAGCUAGGCAACCCUUAGGUCACAAAAUGACUUCAAUCCUAUUAACCAACUCCACAAGAAAUGCAGUAGCCUUAUUAGACAAACCCCUAUUAAAUUCAAUUCACUAUUACUAAAGCAGUUUGAAAUGCCGGAUACAAAAUCGUAUCCAAACACUGUUGCUGGGAGAGUCCCAGAUUCUUAAUGGCCGCUAGCAUCAAAUGAUCUUUGCAGACCUUAACCAAUAAACUGGGUGUUUGGAGAAGGAAGGAGGGGGUACAUCUCAAAGAGUCAUUUCAAUCACCAAUAAAAAGAUUUUUUUUUUCCUCCAAGUGGAUUAGAGAUAAAGACAGUUUAGGAAAGGCAGAGAUGGGUGGAGCUACCCCGGUAUUUGUGACCCAACAUUUCUUUGAGAGGCUGAUCAAGUUAUAUUAAGAUUAUAGGUAUAGACAUCUUAACAGUUUUUGCAUGGAUCCAUCAAAAUCAGGGGCACCUUUAAAGAUCGGCCUAUAUAUUGCUUUGUCUUCUAGCAGUCUUUCUGAAAGAGCACCAGGAGGUGAAGUUAAACCUCUCUAAGGAGAAUCUAAAGGCUUAUGUUUUGAGCAGGGCACUACAUCGCAUUGGGUCAUUGCCUGAAUAGAUGGUGUGCUUCUAGAAUCUCAUGUGGUUUUACUAAUGGAAGAGUUUAUUACCAAAUAGCAGUUUAGAUUUGUUUAUUUAAGCAUCAGAACUCAAUAAAUUAUAUUCUGUGAUGAAAGUGCAUUGAUCUGUCAUAUGUUCUCUGCAUACAAGCUUUUCAAUUGAAUGAUCUGCCUGAUAUUAACCUAAACCUUUGGCACCUCUAUAAGAAUAGAAUUUUUAUAUGCAUAGUUUUUAGUACUUUCCUUUGCAAAUAGAUGGCAAGAUGGUGUAUGUAGGCAACCCUUAGGUCACAAAAUGACUUCAAUCCUAUUAACCAAUAUCACAAGAAAUUCAGUAUAAUCUUACUGCAGAUUAGUCAAAACAUUGAUAGCAAUGACACCUAAUCUAACGUAGAGGCAAGUUACAUUGUUUAGGCCAGUGUCCAUAUGAUGGCUUGCAGAGCUGUGCAUUAAAUGGUCACUGCUCUAAAAAUUACAAAGACUGAAAGUAACUUCUAUAAACUUGUGUAAUGUUCAAUUUACUAAAUCUUUAAUACACAUUUUAAAAGCAAUCUUUAGAUCUCAUGUCCGAGCAGUGUUGUAUCAGAAGACAAAAUCCCCACAAUGUGCAGCAAUCCAGUCUGCUCUGCCAGGUAGAAGUUGCAGCACACGAGACUUGUCGAGUUAAAUAAUCCAAGUGGGCAAUUAAGGACUUUUAUAUGAAAAAGUUUAGUUACAGAUUAAUUUAACAGUCAAUUCAACAGAAUGAGGGUUUAAGAAUUUGUUUAAACCCAUUUGAAGCCUAGACACACAUGAGAAAUACAAUGCUCUGGUUGGGAGCCUUAAACAUAAGCAGUACUUGCAUGGUCCCCGAGACAAGGGCCAAACAUGAUUUUAUGAAUUGGGAGUCCUAACUAGCUACCAGUGGAGGGAAAUACAUAGUGUUUUAUGACAUGUUGACCAUUUACAAACCAAUAUGUCUAGGUAACCCUCUAGUUACACAAAUUGCAUAAUCCUAGACGCUGAUAAAUGCUUAAAAAAAAUAAAAAAAGUUGCAUAUGAACAGAGGAAUACACCUGACCAAGGCAACCUAGAAAUAACAAGAGAUCGCACCUCUCACUUUACAUUCAACAAGCCCAUAAAUAAUCCACACGCCCCCAAAAAGUUAUACAGAUAUCAUUCAUGUAGGAAAAGCUUAGACAGAAUAGAAAAAAAAACCCACACAACCCACAAACUAACCAGUCUACAAUAAAAACUUACAUACUCUUUACUCAUUUGAGAGGCAUGUAAAUUAAAUAUGUAUAGCCCCAAUCAAAAUAAAGCAAUAAAUAAAGAGUGCAGCCAUUGCAAUAUACAAGCCCCAGAGGGGUCUUCAAAGACCCACCAACUAGUAAUUUUUUUUAGGACAUUCUCAAGCUGCACCUUACCCAUGAACUUCUGCUACCAGCCGAGCCAAAACAUAUUGCCUAAUAUUGCUUUGCAGUUUGUUAGAUGCCCUUUGGCAGUGGAAGAAUUAAUGAAAUGAAGUUUCAGUCAUUCAUCAGGAGAAGCCAAACAAAUGCCGCUAUACAGUGUAAUGGUUAAGAGACCGGUUCAUAAGUCCAUCUACAAAUAUGUCAAUAGAAAUACAAAGCUCUUUGUCAAUAAAAUAGCAUUUUAUCUCACAUUAAUACUGCUUAAAAGAAAUAUUCUGUACAUUAGCUUAACAUGAUUGUACGGUUUUGAUUGCCACAGACCCGUAUUGAUACAAAACUUUGGAAAGAUCAGAGUCCAGCAGUACAAAUUAAGUCACAACCUAUCUUUUCUAAUAUGAGAGGGCUUUAAAUGGCACAGACAAAAGGUGUUUAAACAGGAUUGUCUUAAUUAAUGGAUUUGUGAACUAUUCCUGUGCUUUAAAAUAAAAAUAAAAGAAAGUUAAAAAUGUAGGUCUGUGCAGAAUGUGUUUGACACAAGUUUUAAUUAAAAGGAUGAUUUAAAAAAAAAAAAAAAAAAGUCUUUGUGUAGAAAAGAUAACCCACCAAUAGUUAAUCGUUAAGGCUUGGAAUUUUAAAAUAAUGCCGC
rnacentral:lncRNA from 1 species